CCUACGGGAGGCUGCAGUGGGGAAUAUUGGACAAUGGGGGGAACCCUGAUCCAGCCAUGCCGCGUGUGUGAAGAAGGCCCUCGGGUUGUAAAGCACUUUCAGUGAGGAAGAACGCCUGGUGGUUAAUACCCAUCAGGAAAGACAUCACUCACAGAAGAAGCACCGGCUAACUCCGUGCCAACAGCCGCGGUAAUACGGAGGGUGCGAGCGUUAAUCGGAAUUACUGGGCGUAAAGCGCGCGUAGGUGGCUUGAUAAGCCGGUUGUGAAAGCCCCGGGCUCAACCUGGGAACGGCAUCCGGAACUGUCAAGCUAGAGUGCAGGAGAGGAAGGUAGAAUUCCCGGUGUAGCGGUGAAAUGCGUAGAGAUCGGGAGGAAUACCAGUGGCGAAGGCGGCCUUCUGGACUGACACUGACACUGAGGUGCGAAAGCGUGGGUAGCAAACAGGAUUAGAUACCCGGGUAGUC
rnacentral:rRNA from 1 species